rnacentral:tRNA from 1 species
GGCCGCGUGGCCUAAUGGUUAAGGCGUUGGUUUUCGGCACCAAAGACUUGUGCGUUCGAAUCGCACCGUGGUCG